rnacentral:rRNA from 1 species
CCUACGGGUGGCAGCAGUGAGGAAUAUUGGUCAAUGGGGGCAACCCUGAACCAGCCACGUCGCGUGAAGGAUGACUGCCCUACGGGUUGUAAACUUCUUUUAUACGGGAAUAAAGUGAGACACGUGUGCCUUUUUUGAUGUACCCUAUGAAUAAGGAUCGGCUAACCCCGUGCCAGCAGCCGCGGUAAUACGGAGGCGCCGUGCGUUAUCCGGAUUUAUUGGGUUUAAAGGGAGCGUAGGUGGGUUGGUAAGCGGGUUGUGAAAGGCCGGGGCGCAACCGUGGCACUGCAACGGAAACUGGGAGGCGUGAGUGCGGGUGAGGUAGGCGGAAGUCGUGGUGUAGCGGUGAAAUGCGUAGAUAUCAAGAAGAACGCAGAUUGCGAAGGCAGCCUACUGGACAUUUACUGACGCUGAGGCACGAAGGUGCGGGGAUCGAACAGGAUUAGAUACCCGUGUAGUC